AUUGAACGCUGGCGGCAUGCUUUACACAUGCAAGUCGAACGGCAACGAGGAGAAGCUUGCUUCUUUGUCGGCGAGUGGCGAACGGGUGAGUAUAGCAUCGGAACGUGCCAAGUAGUGGGGGAUAACCAAACGAAAGAUUGGCUACUACCGCGCAAGAUCCAAGGAGGAAAGUAGGGGACCUAAAUAAGGCCUUACGCUAUUUGAUCGGCCGAUGUCGGAUUAGCUAGUUGGUGGGGUAAUGGCCCACCAAGGCAAUGAUCCGUAGCGGGUCUGAGAGGACGAUCCGCCACACUGGGACUGAGACACGGCCCAGACUCCUACGGGAGGCAGCAGUGGGGAAUUUUGGACAAUGGGGGAAACCCUGAUCCAGCCAUGCCGCGUGUAUGAAGAAGGCCUUAGGGUUGUAAAGUACUUUUGUUAGGGAAGAAAAGCUAGUUUUUAAUAAAAAUUAGUGAUGACGGUACCUAAAGAAUAAGCACCGGCUAACUACGUG
rnacentral:rRNA from 1 species